CAGUCUUACUUGAACAGAUUGAUAAGGGAGGACACCGAGCGGCAGAUAGAAAAACUGCGUGAAGAAAGUGGUGGAAAUGAAGAACUUGUCCAGGACAAAGUGAUGGAGCUGGAGCAACAGUGUGACAACAAUACAAGUGAACUAAAUGCUAUAUUUGCCAAAGUAGAUGAAAGGAGAAGAAAGCGGGAUGUUCCAGAUUAUCUGUGUGGAAAAAUAAGCUUUGAGAUCCUUCGUGAACCAGUAAUCACUCCUAGUGGUAUAACUUACGAGAGGAAAGAUAUAGAAG